rnacentral:rRNA from 1 species
UACGAAGGGGGCUAGCGUUGCUCGGAAUUACUGGGCGUAAAGGGCGCGUAGGCGGCAUGGCAAGUGGAAGGUGAAAUCCCUCGGCUUAACCGAGGAACUGCCCUCCAAACUGCUUUGCUUGAGGCCGGGAGAGGCGAGUGGAAUUCCCAGUGUAGCGGUGAAAUGCGUAGAUAUUGGGAGGAACACCAGUGGCGAAGGCGGCUCGCUGGACCGGUUCUGACGCUGAUGCGCGAAAGCGUGGGGAGCAAACGGG